UUGACUGGGGCGGUCUCCUCCCAAAGAGUAACGGAGGAGCACGAAGGUGGGCUAAUCACGGUUGGACAUCGUGAGGUUAGUGCAAUGGCAUAAGCCCGCUUAACUGCGAGAAUGACGGUUCGAGCAGGUGCGAAAGCAGGUCAUAGUGAUCCGGUGGUUCUGUAUGGAAGGGCCAUCGCUCAACGGAUAAAAGGUACUCCGGGGAUAACAGGCUGAUACCGCCCAAGAGUUCAUAUCGACGGCGGUGUUUGGCACCUCGAUGUCGGCUCAUCACAUCCUGGGGCUGAAGUCGGUCCCAAGGGUAUGGCUGUUCGCCAUUUAAAGUGGUACGCGAGCUGGGUUUAGAACGUCGUGAGACAGUUCGGUCCCUAUCUGCCGUGGGCGUUGGAAGAUUGAAGGGGGCUGCUCCUAGUACGAGAGGACCGGAGUGGACGAACCUCUGGUGUUCGGGUUGUGUCGCCAGACGCAUUG
rnacentral:rRNA from 1 species